rnacentral:lncRNA from 1 species
GAGCCAUCCCUUCACUGAUGUUAGAACCUACUUCUGGAUUCUAACACAGACUGAAGACCAGCAGCUCUCUAGGACUUCCCUGGGGCUCCAGCACCAGAUGGGACUGCGGAGACAUCCAGUCUUCUGAACUGAACAACCACCUGAUCCUUGGCCGUUCGUUCUGUCAGGAGACGGUCAUUGCUGGACUGCUAGAACCACAACCUGAAAGCCAUUCUAAUAAGUCCCAUAUAUGUAUGUUCUGUUAGAGAGCCCUUAAUAAUAAUACAACACACAAAUAAACAUACCUCUUUGUAUGUUUUUCCAGACAGAGUUUCUUUGUGUAGCCUGUGCUGUCCUAGAACUAGCUCUGUAGACUAGGCUGGCUUUGAACUCAGAGAUUCACCUGUCUCUGCUUCCUGAGUGCUGGGAUUAAAGGUUUAUCCCACCACCACUCGGCAACAAACAUACUUGUUUUAUUGUUUGUUUGGUUUGGUUUUUGUUUUGUUUUUGGAGACAGGGUUCUUGGCUGUCCUGGAACUAAGUCUGUACACCAGGCUGACCUCAAACUCACAAAGAUCUGAAAAAACAUACUUUUUUAAAAAGUAAUUUUUUUUUUUCUUUAAAAAGAGCGAUUGAGGAAGACACCCACCAAUGGUUUCUGGCCUCUACAUACCAACAUCAACACAAAGAGAGAAGGGGAGGGAUGACAGAUAAUUCUAGGGAAGUUAGGAGCCUCAGUUAGGUGCACAUUCACAGUGCACCGUGUGCAAAAUGCCAGUAAAUGACUUCCUCCACACCACAGUCCAGCUCCUAACAAAGGGUCCAUUGGUGCCGGCUCUCCAAGCAUUAGAAUUCUACUCCUUAUUACUCAGUUCCUAAAGACUACCUGACACCCUGCAGAGGAUGCUCCUCUUCCAAGAGAUACUUCAGCCCAGAACAGGAAAGACACUGAACCCGCGCCACGGAGCAACCCCAGGUAGUAUGGCCGGCAGGAGAUUUCACGUAGUUUCUCCUAACCCCGGAAGACCGGGACCGGUGAUUGGGCGGUGCCUAAGACACAGAGAAAAAGGCCUCUGACGGUUGGACAGCGCUGUGUAAGGCUGGCUUUAAAGAAGCCGGAGGUGGGAGCUGUUGAAAACCCC